AUCUUUUUUUUUUUUUGUAAGAUUCUAGGGUUUUAAUUCAUAGCAAAAUCCGAUUUGAUUUAUGAUUUUAGAUUUGUUUCUGAUUACGUUGUGUUCUCGAUUUCAAUUUUCUUUUUUCUUUGGAUUCGGGAAUUGAAUUUGGAGAUUUUUUUCUGGAUUGGCUGAAUUUAGGCGGAGAUGAUAACGAGGGUUGCUGAAGAAGGAGAUGUUGCAAGCAAAGAUGCUGCUUCUGCUGUUGAAUCGUUUGAUCCGAAACUUAGUGCUUCAACUUCUAGUCUCUAAAGAAAAGCAUUACUUGAGAAACUCAAUGGAGGAGCUGCUAUGCCCGGUCUUCCAUAACAUCUGCUACAGUUCCUGCUUAAGCACCUACCGGCGGGGAAGGUUGCACUUUCUCCUUGUAGUUGGUCAGAAUACACCUCCCCUGAAGGUACAAGUACUACUCUAACAGUGCAACAAGUGAAAGCAGGUGGGAGGAGUUCACCCUAUUUCAGUAAAGACAACAGCAAAACUUACCUCAUCCACAAAAACCUCUAGCACAACAGUUUCAGUCACAAUCACAAUCACAACCACAGGUCCUAUUCACCCACAAGGCACUCAGUCACAUCAAAGUCUGGUGGCUACAGCUGUUGGUGGUGACGCAAUGCGUCACCACCAACAGCUGCGACAACCUUCUUUAAAUUCACCGUACCAGGGAUCCGGUUUCAUUGGUAUCUAAAUGCUUAGGAACUUGGUUAUGCUCAAUCACAGGUUUCAGCCAAUUCAAGUGUUGACCCUGCUUGUUUCCACCAGGAGGUAUAAUUUAGAAGGGAAGGAAGGGGGUCCUGAUGAAAUGUGCCAGCUAAGCUUAUGUAUUCGGUUUUCCUUGUUUACUUCACGGUGGUUGUUGAGCUGCAAAAAGCACCUUCAUCGUUUUGUGUUUGCUUUCUGAGGAGCUUAAGGAAAAAGGCGGCUGCAUGUGCAUAUGUUGAUAGAGCAAAGCUGCUAAAUGAUGCUUAUUAUGACUGCAAGAUUGAUGAAUCAUAGAUGGAAUACCUGGAGAAGUUUGAAGAGGUGAUAUGAUUAAAUUAGAGUGGCAAGGUGAUAGUAGAUUGAAUUCAGUGAUAUCCGGUAGCUAGAAUUUAUUUUUAAAACUGUACCUGAGAUUGCACUCUUUUGAAUGUUAUUCUGGAUAACUAAUAAAAAAAAAUUAUUUUCAAC